AUGGACAUUUACAAGAGCGAGGAGCUGUUCUGGCAGCGUCGAGGGGGCCAGAACUGGCUCCUUAAGGGGGAUGCGAACACUUCCUACUUUCAGGCGAUUGCUAAUGGCCGCAGGCAGAAGUGUGCCAUCCCUUUCCUCUGGGAUGGAGAUGUUCUUCUGGAAAUCCCAGAGGACAUCUCCACCCAUAUUUACUCCUUUUAUAAGGAGCUGUUCUCGGCUGAGCCGCGCGGAGGCGUCUCUCUCUGCGAUGACUUCUGGCCGCUUGCUGACUAG
rnacentral:rRNA from 1 species